rnacentral:pre_miRNA from 1 species
AUGCGAAGGCCGGCACCCCUGGCUUCAGGGAUGCCGGCCUUUGCGUC